CCAUCCCCUCUCACUGCCUUGUGAUGGGAUCUUAGAGAGGCUGGGCCUCGAAGACUCAGGUGUGGCCCCACUGGGUCAGGUGUAUAGCCCUCUCGGGAGGCGGAGGAGCCCUCUGGGGGUGGGGAGCCAGCCCCUACCAGUGUCCUCUUGGGUGGUGAGUGGAUUCUUGGCAGCACCAACCUGGGCUGCCUCAGCCAGGACCCCAGCAUUGGCCACACUCCCCUGCGCAGUGUCCCAGGGCACAGCCUGGGCCCAUAGGACCUGACACAGAUGCGUUGGAGCCUGCGGGGUGGAUGAGUCCAUUACCUGCAGUGAGCCCAUGUCCCCACAGAGGGAGAAGAGCUGGCGAGAGUGGCAGAGGGCACCAGCUUCCCGCCUCAGGAGCCACGGCACAGUCCGCAGGUGAAGAUGGCCCCCACAAGUUCCCCGGCAGAGCCACACUGCUGGCCGGCAGAGGCUGCCCUGGGCACAGGCGCUGAGCCCACCUGCAGCCAGGAGGGGAAACUGAGGCCUGAACCGAGAAGGGAUGGG
rnacentral:sRNA from 1 species